rnacentral:misc_RNA from 1 species
AACGCACGAGACCUGCGGACCUGCGGAAGGAUCAUUGGUGAACGCCCUCACGGGCUUAUAACUAUUCCAAACCUCUGUGAACCGUGCCCUUCGGGGCUAUUUUACAAACAUGGUGUAAUGAACGUCAUAUAUCAUAACAAAACAAAACUUUCAACAAUGGAUCUCU